GGGGAAUCUUCCGCAAUGGGCGAAAGCCUGACGGAGCAAUGCCGCGUGAAGGAUGAAGGCCUAUGGGUUGUAAACUUCUUUUCUCAGAGAAGAAUUUUGACGGUAUCUGAGGAAUAAGCAUCGGCUAAUUCCGUGCCAGCAGCCGCGGUAAUACGGGAGUGGCAAGCGUUAUCCGGAAUUAUUGGGCGUAAAGCGUCCGCAGGCGGCCUUGAAAGUCUGUUGUUAAAACGUGGAGCUUAACUCCAUUUCAGCAAUGGAAACUACAAGACUAGAGUGUGGUAGGGGCAGAGGGAAUUCCCGGUGUAGCGGUGAAAUGCGUAGAUAUCGGGGAGAACACCAGUGGCGAAGGCGCUCUGCUGGGCCAUAAUUGACGCUCAUGGACGAAAGCCAGGGGAGCGAAAGGGAUUAGAUACCCCUGUAGUC
rnacentral:rRNA from 1 species